rnacentral:rRNA from 1 species
ACUCACAGCCAUAUCACCCUGCAGCCCAAGACCAGUUACUCACUGAAGCUAAGCAGGGCUGAGCCUGGUCAGUACCUGGAUGGGAGACCACAUGGGAAAACUAGGUUGCUGUUAUUA